GACGAACGCUGGCGGCGUGCUUAACACAUGCAAGUCGAACGGAAAGGCCCUGCUUUUGUGGGGUGCUCGAGUGGCGAACGGGAGAGUAACGCGAGAGUAACCUGCCCUUGACUUUGGGAUAACUUCAGGAAACUGGGGCUAAUACCGGAUAGGAGCUCCUGCGGCAUGGUGGGGGUUGGAAAGUUUCGGCGGUUGGGGAUGGACUCGCGGCUUAUCAGCUCGUUGGUGGGGUAGUGGCUUACCAAGGCUUUGACGGGUAGCCGGCCUGAGAGGGUGACCGGCCACAUUGGGACUGAGAUACGGCCCAGACUCCGACGGGAGGCAGCAGUGGGGAAUAUUGCACAAUGGGCGGAAGCCUGAUGCAGCAACGCCGCGUGCGGGAUGACGGCCUUCGGGUUGUAAACCGCUUUCGCCUGUGACGAAGCGUGAGUGACGGUAAUGGGUAAAGAAGCACCGGCUAACUACGUG
rnacentral:rRNA from 1 species